UACCAUGGUUCAGCCUCCUUUCUUGGGGAUUCAUCUGGAAAGAGUUGAAAGAGGAGAGAGACGCCUUUCCUUUGGGGAGUCACUUUUACCUCAGGAAAGGCUUUUCUUCCCGUCCAGAGGACCCUCUCUCUCCCACUCGGUUUUAGAAAUUUCUUUAUCGAACCUUUACCUCAGAAAAGCCUUGUGAAAUAGAAAGAAGAAAAUGCCAAUUUUAUUUAUUAAGAGAUUGUCACCUCAGACUUUACCUCAGAAAUGGCCAAGCCUUGUGAAACGGAAGGGAGAAACAAAGGCAAAACUUUUGAAAAUUAGCACAGCUUUUUCUGAAGGGACCAGAAAUUUCUUUAUCGAACCUUUACCUCAGAAAAGCCUUGUGAAAUAGAAAGAAGAAAAUGCCAAUUUUAUUUAUUAAGAGAUGGUCAUCUCAGACUUUACCUCAGAAAUGGCCAAGCCUUGUGAAACGGAAGGGAGAAACAAAGGCAAAACUUUUGAAAAUUAGCACAGCUUUUUCUGAAGGGACCAGCGCUGAAUUCAAGUCAAAGGGAAGAAAGGGAAGAAACAAAAGGUCGAAGAGACAGAAGACAGAAGAUGCUUGAAGACACUCUCGCAAGGACACCGCCCGCCCCCCAAAAAAGGUCAUUGUCAGGGUAAUGGGUGUCAGGCUAGGCAUUUCAUGUCUAUCUUUGCAAUAAAAAACAGGCUACCUGUGUGCUAGGCUUUUGCAUGAAGAACACGGUUCCCCUCGUGUGUGGCAUCGAAGGUUCCCACUCGGGAACGGACGGGUCCUCCCUUUGUUCUAGGCAGAUGAUGGGGGUUUUCCUAUACAAGCCGUAGGGGCCACAGCUUGGGGGGCAGCGGGGGGCCCGGCCCUGGCACCGCGGGGAGCAGCACACCUUACGGGCAUUUUAAAAGCUCCCUUAAACUUAGACAGUGGCUAGCAAUAAAAAUAUUAAUACCUUAACUCACCUACUAACCCUACUAACACCAUUCUAACUAGGGCAGGCUGGCCUUUUAAAUAGGACUGUGUUUUGCCUGCUGGCAAGAACCAAGCUGGGAGGGAAGGGGGCCUCCUGGCCCCCCAUAGAAGGGCUCCCCUAGAAGGACAUUCAAAAGGCCCGCAAGGUGUCCUGAGAGCAGCCCCUGGGGCCCUCAGUGUGCCCCCCACGGUGCCAGGGCUGGGCCCCCCGCUCUCCCCCAACCCAUGACCCCUGCCGCCUGUAUCUCGUCCGCCCAGGGCCAACGGACGCCCCCUCCCUCCCCGGGCGGAGCUUCGGCGCCACACACAAGGGGAGGCCAGCCGUGGCCGCCAGAACAUGGCCAACCUGGUUUUGGACUGCAAACAUAGGCAUGUAGGGACCCCCUUUUAUUUAUGUAAGGCCACCCACCCAGGGGACCUGGUUAAAGGGGAUCCUCUAUUCUUAAAGUAAGGCCUAUAGAGAUCUCCUAUCCAGAAACUAAGGCGGCUUGGCCUAUAGAGAUCCCCUUUUGUUAAACUAAGGUGGCCUGGCCUAUAGAGAUCUCUUGUUGUUAAACUAAGGUGGCCUGGCCUAUAGAGAUCUCCUAUUCUUUAAGGUAACGCCAGGCGAUGUGGAGAUCCCUGGUUCUUUUAACCCUUAAGGCCAACCGUGGGGAGAUCCCUGGUUCUUUUAACCCUUAAGGCCAACCGUGGGGAGAUCCCUGGUUCUUUUAACCCUUAAGGCCAACCGUGGGGAGAUCCCUGGUUCUUUUAACCCUUAAGGCCAACCGUGGGGAGAUCCCUGGUUCUUUUAACCCUUAAGGCCAACCGUGGGGAGAUCCCUGGUUCUUUUAACCCUUAAGGCCAACCGUGGGGAGAUCCCUGGUUCUUUUAACCCUUAAGGCCAACCGUGGGGAGAUCCCUGGUUCUUUUAACCCUUAAGGCCAACCGUGGGGAGAUCCCUGGUUCUUUUAACCCUUAAGGCCAACCGUGGGGAGAUCCCUGGUUCUUUUAACCCUUAAGGCCAACCGUGGGGAGAUCCCUGGUUCUUUUAACCCUUAAGGCCUGCCUGGGGAGAUAUCCUAUUCUUUUUUCAUGAAAAGUCGGGUAUAGACCUUCUCUUUUCUCUCCCGUUUCAUGUGCCUGGACUCCCGGAGGGCUCCUGCCGGACACCGUCUCCCAUCGGCCGAGAGGGAUCCUUCCUGUUUGGAAAGCAUCUGCUACACAGGUAAAAAGAAGAUUCCGGGAAGGAGAUUCCUACAGCGGAGCCCUAAAGCCAGGUGAGACGUUCCUUCCAACCUCCACGGCUGCUUUGCACACACACACAUGACACACACAUGACACACACACACACGCAUAUACAGCUGGGGGCCCUCAGGGACUCUCCCCCCAAUAGAUCGGGGACUCCCACUCCGGCAAUUGGCCAUUGGAAAUGCCUUGAAGCAGUUUGGGGCUUCCGGCCAAGCGCUCGCAAAGAGAACCCAUUCAAGGUAUACGUGGAGCCCCUUUUAUUUAUUAUUUAUUGACAGCAUUUCUAUUCCGCCCUUCUUUCUCACCCCAAAGGGGACUCAGGGCGGAUCACAUGACACAUAUAGGCAAACAUUCAGUGCCUUUUAACAUAGAACAAAGACAAACAAACAUAAGCUCCGAGCGGGUCUCGAACUCAUGACCUCCUGGUCAGAGUGAUUCCUUGCAGUUAUAAUUGCAGCUGGCUUGCUCUCCCGCCUGCGCCACAGCCCGGGCCAACCUUGAUAAAAAGGGCCUGGCACGUGGAAAACUCUAUUUGUAAGGCAAACCCUCGUUAAAGGAGGUUUGCAAUUAAUUUAAAACCAGGCUUCUGAGGGACCCGCUGCGUUUAAAGCCAAACCUAGCAGGUGGGAACCUCUCUUGUUGGAUAAAGGAGAUCCCCUCUGGUUAACGUAAGGGGAGGGACCCUCCAUUUUUAAUAGGAUGCCUGGCAGAAUCUUAACCUCAAUGCAGGCCUAUGGGGUCCAGCCUUAUUCUCAAUGACUGCAUAGCCAGGCAUGAAGGGACCCCAUAUUAUUAAUUUGAAGCCUGGUAAAAAGAGAUUUAUGUAUUUAUUUAUUUACUACAUUUAUACCCCGCCCUCUUUUCCCUUAAAGGGGACUCAGAGCGGCUUACAAGUUAUAUUUAUAUACACUAUCUCAUUAGCAUAGCACAAUAUUAGCAUUAUAUAUUACUACAUUGCACUAUACCACUAUAUAGAAAUAUUGUUAGCAAUAUUACAUUUAAAAUAUAAUAUGUAAUUAAUAUUAUUGUAUCAUUGUUAGUAUUAUAUUGCAUUAUUUAUUUAUUUAUUAGAUUUAUAUGCUGCCCUUCUCACCCCGAAGGGGACUCAGAACGGCUUAAAAAUUAAAUUUACAUACAAUAUUAUAUUAUUAGCAUAGUACAAUACUGGCAAUAAAUUACUAUAUUGUACUAUAUCAAUAUAUGGUAGUAUUAUUAGUAAUAUUACAUGCAAAAUAUAAUAUAUAAUUAAUAUUAUUAUAUUGUAUUAUUAAUAUAUCGUAUUACAAUAUAAUAUUAUGAAUAUAUGUAUAUACAAUAUGUUGUAAUUAUUAUAUAUUAAAUUAUAUAUAUAUAUAUAUAUAUAUACACACACACACACAGUAGAGUCUCAUUUAUCCAACAUAAACGGGCCAGCAGAAUGUUGGAUAAGCGAAUAUGUUGGAUAAUAAGGAGGGAUUAAGGAAAAGCCUAUUAAACAUCAAAUUAGUUUAUGAUUUUACAAAUUAAGCACCAAAUCAUCAUGUUAUACAACAAAUUUCACAAAAAAAGUAGUUCAAUAUGCAGUAAUGCUAUGUAGUAAUUACUGUAUUUAUGAAUUUAGUACCAAAAUAUCAUGAUGUCUUGAAAACAUUGUCUACAAAAAUGCGUUGGAUAAGCGAGUGUUGGAUAAGUGAGACUCUACUGUAUAUAAAAAUUAGAAUAGCAUGUUAUUAGGGGAGGAGCAUCUUAAUUAUUAGAUGUCAGUAUUAGUCAUUAGAUGUUAAUAUUAGUUAUUCAUAUUAGUAUCAAUAUUACAUUAAUAUACAAUAGAGCAGGGGUCCCCAAACUAAGGCCCGUGUGCGGGAUGCGGCCCAUCGAAGCCAUUUAUCCGGCCCCCACAGCACAACCCUUAUUAUUAUUAUUAUUAUUAUUAUUAUUAUUAUUAUUAUUAUUAUUAUUAGCAUUGAGGCUGGGUGGCCAUCUGUCAGGGGUGCUUUGCUUGUGCUUUCGGUGCACAAAGGCAGAAAGGGAUUGGACUCAAUGGCCAACCCUUCCAACCCUCAUAAUUAUUAUUAUUAUUAUUAUUAAUUAUUAUUAUUAUUGCUUGGUGGCCAACUAUAGUCUGGCCCUGCAAUGGUCUGAAGGAUCGUGAACUGGCUCCCUGUUUAAAAGGUUUGGGGACCCCUGCAAUAGAGUAUAUUAUUAUCCUAGCACAAUGUUAUUAUGUUAUAUAGUAGUAUGUAUGUUAAUAUUAUUUAUUCAUAUUAGUAUCAAUAUGACAUUAAUAUACAAUAGAGUAUAUUAUCCUAGCACAAUAUUCAUAUGUUCUAUAGUAGUAUGUUGUUGCUAGGGGGAGGGGCCCCCCACUGAUGGGGAGGGCCCCCCCACUGAGAUCCCCUGUCAUUAAUGUUAGACCAGGCAUUUAACGCCUACCUUUGCAUUCAAGAGCAGGCUCCUAGGCCUUUGCAUUCAAGAGCAGUGCGCUAGGCCUUUGCGCAAGGAACACCACCCACGGCUCCCCUUGUGCGUGGCGUUGAGGCCCCACUCGGUGACGGACGGGUCCUCCCUUUGCCCUGGGCAGGUCGUGGGGGGGGGGGUCUCCCUGCACAGGCAGGGGGUCACGGCUGGGGGGAGAGCGGGGGCCCGGCCUUGGCACCCCCCUGGGGACCCGAGGGGCCGCUCUCAGCCCACGUCACGGGCAUUUUAAAACGUCCCCGGGAUGUAGUAGCUCAGAUUAAUCCCUGCACUAACCGCUAACCCUACUAACCCAGUUCUAACCCGGGCAGGCUAGGCUUUUAAAUAGGACUGUUUUUGCCUGUUGGCAAGAACCAAGUGGGAGGGGGCCUCCGGGCCUCCCGUGGGAAGAAGGGCUCCGGCCCCCCCGGCCCCCCGGCCCCUGCCCUGUGCUGGGAGCCCCCCGCCCGGGCCCCCAGAGGCCUCCCUGUGGUACCGGGCUUGGCCCCCAUCCGCUCUGCCCCCAUCCGACGGCCUAGGAAAGCCCCCCACCAUCCGCCCAGGGCCAACGGACGGCCCUCCCUCCCAGGGGCAGCCGCGUUCCUCACGCAAAGGUCUGGCGCACGGGAGCCUGUUUCUGAAUGCAAACGUGGGGCCCAGGACCCCCCCCCUUGUCUCCGUGCAGGGCCACCCCCCCAGGGACCCCCACAAAUGCCUGGUGACAGGGGAUCCUCUCCUCUUAGCAGGAGGAAAAGCCACGUGCGUAAAGCGGUGCCUUUGCUCCCGUCGUUCCCAAGAGCCCCCCAAAAGCGAGAUGCUCCCCUGGGUUCAGCCCUCCUGACCCCUGUCUUCUCCCUUGUUCCAUGUCUCCAAAAUCCCCGAGGGAGGGGCUCCUCCUGGACAAGAGCCAAGGACGGAAGGACGGACGGACGGACGGACGGAGAUCCCAGAGAGAGAGCGGAGAGCAGGACGCCUUGCCUUUUCCCAGCUGCUGAGGUCGACCCCUUUCCAACGAGGUCAGCUUUCAAGAAGAAAACUCUUCCCAAAAAAGUGUGUUCUGGUUAUUAUUCAAAGGCACAACGUUCAAUAUUUGACAGCAUUAAACAUCUAGAUUACAGGACAGUUUAUGUUACUGCAUUUUAUACACCUGACCUUGUUUUUACAAAUAAAGUACCUGUAUAAUUUUUGCCUCUAUAUAUAUAUUGUACUAUGCUCAGACUCAUUGUUCUGAUAUGCUGUUAUAUGGUUUAAUUGUUUAUAUUGUUUAUAUUUUUAAUGUAUGACUGUUUAUUACAUGUGACAUUGGGCUUGUUUCCCAUGUGAGCCACCCCGAGUCCUCCUGGGGGAGAUGGGAGCGGGAAUAUAAAAAUAAAGUAUUAUUUUGUAUUAUUAUUA